UGAUGUAUAGCUCUGUUGGUAGCGCAUGAGACUCUUAAUCUCAGGAUAGUGAGUUCCAACCUCAUACUGGGUGAA